AUUGAACGCUGGCGGCAUGCCUUACACAUGCAAGUCGAACGGCAGCACGGGAGCAAUCCUGGUGGCGAGUGGCGAACGGGUGAGUAAUAUAUCGGAACGUGCCCAGUCGUGGGGGAUAACGUAGCGAAAGCUACGCUAAUACCGCAUACGACCUAUGGAUGAAAGCGGGGGAUCGCAAGACCUCGCGCGAUUGGAGCGGCCGAUAUCAGAUUAGGGAGUUGGUGGGGUAAAGGCUCACCAAGCCGACGAUCUGUAGCUGGUCUGAGUGGACGACCAGCCACACUGGGCACUGAGACACGGGCCCGACGCCUACGGGAGGCAGCAGUAAGGAAUAUUGGACAAUGGACGCAAGUCUGAUCCAGCCAUGCCGCGUGAAGGAUUAAGGUCCUCUGGAUUGUAAACUUCUUUUAUAAGGGACGAAAAAAGGUCUUUCUAGAUCGUCUGACGGUACCUUAUGAAUAAGCACCGGUUAACUCCGUGCCAGCCGCCGCCGUAAAAC
rnacentral:rRNA from 1 species